GACGAACGCUGGCGGCGUGCCUAAUACAUGCGAGUCGAACGCUGAAGGAGGAGCUUGCUUCUCUGGAUGAGUUGCGAACGGGUGAGUAACGCGUAGGUAACCUGCCUGGUAGCGGGGGAUAACUAUUGGAAACGAUAGCUAAUACCGCAUAAGAGUAGAUGUUGCAUGACAUUUGCUUAAAAGGUGCAAUUGCAUCACUACCAGAUGGACCUGCGUUGUAUUAGCUAGUUGGUGGGGUAACGGCUCACCAAGGCGACGAUACAUAGCCGACCUGAGAGGGUGAUCGGCCACACUGGGACUGAGACACGGCCCAGACUCCUACGGGAGGCAGCAGUAGGGAAUCUUCGGCAAUGGACGGAAGUCUGACCGAGCAACGCCGCGUGAGUGAAGAAGGUUUUCGGAUCGUAAAGCUCUGUUGUAAGAGAAGAACGAGUGUGAGAGUGGAAAGUUCACACUGUGACGGUAUCUUACCAGAAAGGGACGGCUAACUACGUG
rnacentral:rRNA from 1 species